rnacentral:rRNA from 1 species
AUGGCUGUCGUCAGCUCGUGUCGUGAGAUGUUCGGUUAAGUCCGGCAACGAGCGCAACCCACAUCUUUAGUUGCCAGCAGUUCGGCUGGGCACUCUAAAGAAACUGCCCGUGAUAAGCGGGAGGAAGGUGUGGAUGACGUCAAGUCCUCAUGGCCCUUACGGGUUGGGCUACACACGUGCUACAAUGGUAGUGACAAUGGGUUAAUCCCAAAAAGCUAUCUCAGUUCGGAUUGGGGUCUGCAACUCGACCCCAUGAAGUCGGAAUCGCUAGUAAUCGCGUAACAGCAUGACGCGGUGAAUACGUUCCCGGGCCUUGUACACACCGCCCGUGGGGCGGGGGCGGCGGGCCGGGCGCGGGGCGCGGCGGGCG